rnacentral:lncRNA from 1 species
UGUAUUUGUAGGACAGCCUUAACUAUCUGUAGGAAUUUGUUCCCUCAAAAGGACAGGCUCUCUGGCAUUGGCAAAUCCCAGGAUGUCAAAAUAUAAUAAAACCCAGAGGAUAAAAAAAUGUGGUCAAGGUGGUGGUAUGCAUGGCUCAGGGUCAUGAACACCAUGUCCCUUGCCAGCUGAAGUGAAUGUGGUUACUUUUAGUGGCUGGCUGUCCCUUUGUCCUCCUGGAAGCCUUCUCCCUCUGCCUGCUUUUCUUUUACAGGAGGUUGGUGACACCACAGUGUUCAAUACUCAGACUUCCAGAUUACUGUGCAACAGAGACUCCUGUGUCACCCUAAGCACUGGUGUUGACAGAGAAGAGAAAAAUCGCAGAUGCCUGCCUCUCCUAAGCCCAGGGCACGCUGUGUGUUUCGAUUUCAUGCUGGUGGUCAGUCUAUCCCUGAAAAGCCAUCUUCUGCCUUGAAUUCCAUCUCCUAGCUACCUCUAUGGCUACCUGGGUUAUGUGGAUGAAGCUCAGGAAGAGGAUCCCUAAGACUAUAGCAGGAAAGUUCUAAGCAGACAUGGAAGUCACUGGGCUGGUUGAGCUUUGAUCUGGGAAAAUGGAAGGCCGGGUUUCUGGGUGCCCACUGCCAACUUUUGCAGCAAGAGUGAGCCUUGUUGAUCCUGCUGGCUCAGACGUACUCCAUUUCCUGGUAAUUAAACAAGUGGAGAUCAAAGCUGACAAAUCUCCCAGUCUCUCAGAACAGGAGAUGAAGGUCCUGCCUCAGCCUGUGUCUUGCCUCAGCACGGGAGUCUGUCUCAGCUGACGUCACUCUACCAAUCAGCCCCAGUCCGCAGAAGUGAUAAGAAGCUGCAUCACACCAUCAGAAGUUUUUUUGGUGCGUUUUUGGAGCUCAACUAUGCAAUGUAAGGCUGGCCAAUACAUGCAUGUCGUUAGCAAAGAACCCUUUAUCACAUGUCCCUUCAAGUGCUUGCUUUAGCAGAACACCCUUUCACCUGUGUCUGCUUCAGAGAAACAUUCCUUCGUGUGUUUGCCCCAGCAAAA